CCGCGGGGGGUGACGAAAGCGGAAGCGGGGAGCAGGAUGCUGCUGCACUGAAACUCCCCCGACCGCCGCGCCGGGAGCGGCUCCGCCAUGGAGGUGCAAGAUGCUGGACAAGAUAUGGCGGUUUCCUAUGCCACACCAGGAAGCGGUAAAUCGAAGCUGGAUACGCUGUCCAAGGAAGAUCUCAUCAAAUUUGCGAAGAAGCAAAUGAUGCUUAUGCAGAAAGUGAAGUCAAGAUGCACAGAAUUGGAAAAAGAGAUUGAACUCAAAUCAAAACCAGCUGCUGGAGGAGCUGAUGAUAUUAUUCAGGCACUCUCAGAAAGGCUGGAUGCUGUUCUUCUGGAAAAAGCAGAGAUCCAACAGCAGUGCUUAGCCCUUAAAAAAGAAAAUGCUAAAAGGAAACAAGAAGCAGAGGUUGCUGUAACUAAGACAGAAGAACUGCAGAAGCAGUUGGAACAAUCAAGCGUUGACCACCUGAAAGAUAUUGAAGGCCUUAAGAAUGAAGUAGUAAGAGCACAGUCCAAAUACAAUGAAGACCUAGCCAAACUGCAGAAAGAACUGCAGGAAGAAGUUGAGAAACAAAUGAGGUUUGCAGAACAGCUUGAACUUCAUAGUAAUCAACAAGAGGAAACUAAAAGACUACAAGAAGAGGUCCAGCAAAUUAAGCAUACAUAUGAGGAACAGAUUUUAUGUCUGAAUAAACAGUUGGAAACUAUCAGUGAAGAUAAAAACAAAGAAAUUGAAAAUCUGCAAGAAGUUAUCAAAACUAAUUCUCAACAUUACUGUAGUGAAAUCAAUAAUCUGCAUGAAGAGCUUAUGCAAGUAAAGGGUGCACACCAGGAAGAGGUUUCAGAAUUGAUGUGUCAGCUUGAAGCUACUUCUAAAGAAUAUAAAGAGGAACGAAACCAGAUAAAUCGGCAAAAGCCAGACUUAACAGAGCAGGACUUGGUAAAAGAGGAAAGCAUGAAGAGUGAAUUAUGUGCUAGUAAUGAGAAAUGUGAACAUGAAUUGGAGCAACUAAGAGAAGCUGUAAAUGAAAAUGAGGCAGAUGUUACAGAUGUACAAAGAGAGACUUAUGUGAACACAAAAAUGGAAGAAAAGGUCAACCGCUUAGAACAUAUUUUAAAAGAACUGGAAUCUCAACAUAGUAUAUUAAAAGAUGAACUAACCUAUAUGAAUAAUGUUAAGUUAAAACUGGAGGAGGAAAUUCAGCGCACAAAGGAUGAAUAUUUUCAUGAGCGGGAAGACUUGGAGUUUAAAAUUAAUGAACUGCAACUUGCUAAAGAAGAUCAUUGUUGUGUAAUUGAAAAACUAAAAUCAGAGCUCCAAGCAACAAGACACCAAUAUGAAAUCACUGAAAAAGAGCGUAACCUAGAAGUUCAAAGUCUGAGAGAACAACAAGAGAGAGAGAUUUCGGAACUACAUCAGACUUUAUUGUCAAGUUCAGAAAAAGAAAAUAUGGCAUUGGUUUUUGAAAUACAGGAUCUUAAGGAACAGUAUCAAAAGCUCAUACAGGAGAAGGAAGAAGCAGUGUUCAAUUAUGAGAGUUUGAGGGAAACGCUGGAAACUCUACAAACUGAAUUGGGGGAAUCAGCUGGAAAGAUCAGUCAGGAGUUUGAAUCAAUGAAGCAGCAGCAAGCUUCUGACGUCAGUGAGUUACAACAGAAACUCAGAGCUGCUUUCAAUGAAAAGGAUGCUCUUCUUGAAACAGUGAGUCGUCUUCAGGAAGAAGCAGAAAAAUUAUCAUCUAAACAAGCUGAGGUGGAAGAACUUAAGCAUAAAAUAGUCAGCUUUCAGGAGGCGAAUGAGGCAAUGGUGAUCUUUCUUGAUCAAAAAGAGAUUACAAUAAAAGAACUGGAGGAAAAGGUGACUACUCUUGCCUCUCAAAGAGAUGGUAUUUUAAGUGAACUGAAAUGUUCAGGUGAAGAAGUAGAAAAUCUUCAAGAAAUGUGUAAAAAAGAACAAGAAAAGGUCCUGGAACUUCAGCAACAAGCAGAAUUUGUUAACCAGUGCAACAGUGAACUGAAAAAAAAUGUAGAGGAUUUAACAGAGACACUAAAAGAAGCUUUAAAAGAGAAGGAUGAGAAUAACCAAAAGUUAGUGCAAUUAGAGGAACAAAUGGAAGCUCUCUCGCUUGAUAGAAAGAGUCUGUUAUCUCAAGCAUAUACUCUUCAUAAGGAAAUUGAGAAAAUCAAUAAGGAAAAAGACAAAAUAAGUAGUAAUCUGGAAAAGGUUACCUCUGAAAAGGAGGAUUGGCUAGUAUUUAAAGAACAAGCUGAAAGUUUAGAAAAGAAAUUACAAAUUGCUGUUGAAGAAAAAGACCAUUUAACUUUGCUUCUUGAAAACAAACAAGCACAUGCAUUACUUGUCAAAACUCAACUGUACGGUUUGCUUGAGCAAAUAGGGUCCAGGCUUUCAGAUGAUGAGGAGGAACAUGAUGCUAUUAAUUUACUGGAGUUUGUAAAUGAUUCCUUGGCAAAAAUGAAAGAAGAAAAACAGAGCCUUACUUUGCAGAAUGAUGAAAAAGUUGUUAAUUUACAGCAGAAGGUUGAGAGACUUCAGAAAGAAAAUGUAGUUCAAUGUACAGAGCUCAGAUUUUUGCUGGAAAACUUUGAAAAAGAAAAGUGUCUCUUAGUAGAAAAAUUAGAAGGAGCUUUGACAGAAAAAGCAGCAUUGCAGCUAGACAUCCAAGAGAUGAAGAGUGCCAGUGAGAAAGCAAGGAAUGAAAAACAAGAUCUUCUAGCUUGUAUUGAAGAGAUCUCUCAAAAACUUGCAUGUUAUGAAAGCCAAAUACAAGAACAACAGAAGGAAUCUUUUACAGAAGAGCAAGAAAACCUAAAACUCAGUCUAGAACAAAGAGAGGCUGAACUUAGAAAUGUGAAAGCCGAACUGACCUCUCUAAAGGAUUUCAUGGAGAAGUUGUCUGUAAAAAAUGACCAACAAUCUUCCAUAGCAGAACUAGAAGAAAAAAUUGUAUGUCUGGAAAAGCUAUCUGCAGAGAGAGAAGAGAAGGUAAAUAAAGUUAAAGUCAUUGCUGUGAAAGCAAGGAAAGAACUAGAUUCUAGUAGAAAAGAGGUGCAGUCUUUGAGAGAAGAAUUAGAGUUGGUACAAUCAGAGAAAGAUCAGCUGUCUACUUCUAUGAGGGACAUCAUCCAAGGAGCAGAAAGCUAUAAGAAUCUUUUGCUGGAAUAUGACAAGCAAGCAGAACAGCUGGAUUUGGAAAAGGACCGAGCAAAUAAUCUUGAACAUCAGAUGGAUGACCUUACAAGACAACUACAGACCUCAAUUCAGCAGCAAAACCAACUAAACUCUGCCAAUGAAGACCUUAUGGCUCGUCUUGAAACACUACAGUCUAAUGUUAAACUGCUAGAAGCCCAGAUAUUAGAAAUGCAGAGAGCCAAAGCAAAAGUUGACAAAGAACUGGAAGCUGAAAAAUUUCUAAAAGAGCAAAAGAUAAAGGACCAUAGCAGUGCUGUAAGAGAACUUGAAGACCUUCAGCUUCAGCUUCAGAAGGAAAAGAAACAUCUUCAGAAAACUAUGCAGGAGCUAGAGCUGGCCCGGCGGGAUGCCCAGAAGAGCACACUAAUGGAUAUGGAAAUGGCUGAUUAUGACCGUUUAGUGAAAGAACUUAAUCAGAAGAUUACAGAUAAAAACUGCAAAAUUGAAGAUCUUGAGCAAGAGCUCAGAAUUCAAAAACAAAAACAAGAAACACUACAAGAAGAAAUACAAUCCCUUCAAUCUUCUGUGCUACAGUAUGAGGAAAGGAACUCCCAAAUAAAACAACUGCUAGUGAAAACCAAAAAAGAACUGGCAGAUUCAAGGCAAGCUGAAAAUGACCGUCUAAUACUUCAAGCAUCAUUAAAAGGAGAGCUAGAGGCAAGUCAGCAGCAAGUGGAAGUCUAUAAGAUUCAGCUGGCUGAACUAACAUCAGAAAAACACAAGAUUCAAGAACAUCUGCGGACCUCUUCGGAGCAACACCAGCGCACUCUGAGUUCUUACCAGCGGAAAAUUGCAACCCUACAAGAAGAAUGCAACACAGCAAAGGCAGAACAAGUUGCUGUUACCUCUGAAUUUGAAAGCUACAAAGUCCGUGUUCAUAAUGUUUUAAAACAACAAAAGAAUAAAUCUGCUUCUCAGACUGAAACUGAGAGAGCCAAGCAAGAAAGAGAACACAUGGAAACGGUGAUAGACCAACUAAAAGUAAAGUUACAAGAUGCCCAGCAUAAUUUACAAAUCAGUGUAACUGAACUUCAAGCAUUGCAGUCUGAACAUGACACCCUGCUGGAACGGCACAAUAAGAUGCUGCAGGAGACGGUGACGAAAGAGGCAGAACUCCGAGAAAAGGUCUGUACUAUACAGUCUGAGAACAUGGUGUUGAAGUCAGAGCAUGCACAGACUGUGAAUCAGCUGAUGACCCAGAACGAAGCUCUUCAGAACAGUUUUAAAGAUCAAGUGAGGCAUUUGCAAGAAGAGCAUAGGAAGACUGUAGAAAGGUUGCAACAGCGGUUAUCCAAGGUAGAAGCGCAAUUCUUCCAACUUAAGAGUGAACCCAGCACAAGAGGUCCGGCUGUUUCAAACCUACCAGUGAAGAACUUGCGAGAACGGAGAAACACUGACCUUCCUCUUCUUGAUGUGCACACUGUAGCUAGGGAAGAGGGAGAAGGAAUGGAAACAACUGACACAGAGUCUGUGUCUUCUGCCAGUAUCUAUAUGCCAUCAUUGGAACAACUUCUUAAUUCUCCUGAAGCAAAAUUUGAGCCACCUCAAUGGCAAACAGAACUCACCAAAGAAGAGCUGGUGCAGAAGCUAAACACAACAACAAAAAGUGCUGAUCAUUUGAAUGGAUUGCUUCAUGAAUCUGAAGCAACCAAUGCAAUAUUAAUGGAACAAAUUAAGCUUCUUAAGAGUGAAGUAAGACGACUGGAAAGGAACCAAGAGCGAGAGAAGUCUGUUGCUAAUCUGGAAUAUUUGAAAAAUGUUCUGCUGCAAUUUAUAUUUCUGAAGUCAGGCAGUGAAAGAGAGAGGCUUCUUCCAGUAAUGGACACCAUGUUGCAGCUCAGCCCUGAAGAGAAGGGAAAACUUGUUGCAAUUGCCCAUGCAGACAGAGUCACUUUUCUGAAGAUCUCAUUCAAAGUGAUACAGGGGAAAAAAGGUACUGUGAAAUAGCUCCCAUGGCAGAUGCUCUCCCAAGAAACUAGAAGUUAUAGUCUAAUUUUAAUUAAUAAAGGUCAUAUUAUAAAACUAACUUUUUAGUGGCUAAUGUCCACCUUUGAAAAUACUCUCCAACAAAUAUCCCAUAAGUACAAGGAUCUAGGAAAAUUCAGGCCUCUGCAAGAAUUUUGUAAGUAGACAGCUCCUUCUUAUGGUAAGUGUUAAGAGUACUUGUCAAACAUAAUUUACUCGCAAUUUGCAAUAGGCUUUUUGUAUUAUCCCAUUCAAAACAUUUUUAUUGGGUAUUUAUUGUCAUUUUCCCUGUUUAGGGAAAUUGUAAUUAGUUAAACAUUUUCGAUUGUCAUGGGCAGUGUCUGCACUUUCCAGAUCAUUUUUUUAAAUAAGGAAUAAGUCAGUUACUCCUGAACAUAAAGUAAGGAGAAGUGAGCAUGACAGUGAAAUGUGGAGACACACUAAUGCACUAAGUGGAAGGAUUUAUAAUUGGAAUGGCAAGGCAGAAAAAGUUCCUAGCAUUGAGUACUGCUGUUCUGGCAGUCCCUAGGGAAUAGAGCUUAGUAUUAACAUGGGAUCUUCAAGGUGAAGUCCAUAAAGGAGAUGAAACAGGCCUUUUAUCUCUUUGCCAAAUGCAGACAUGUUUCCUGAAAUACUCUAAUGUAGUGGUCACCAACCUGUAGAUCGCGAUCAACUGGUCAAUCCCGGAGCCUCAGCCAGUCGAUCACGAUCUCCGGCUGCUAAAAGUCCAGUGGUGCAAUGGAACUAGGCAUGCUCCCUGCCUGCAAUGGCCCCACACCACUCCCAGAAGCCGCCAGCAUGUCCCCAUGACUCCUGGGGCAGGGCAGAUCUUUGUACACUGCUCCUACCUGCAAGCACUACACCCGCAGCAUCCAUUAGUCGGGAAUGGGCAACUGCGGCCAAUGGGAGCUGUGGGGGCAGUGCCUGCAGAGAGGGGCAGCGCGCAGAGCCACAUGACCUCCCCUCUUCCCUCCAGGGGCCACAAGGGCUUGCUGGCCGUUUCUGGGAGCAGUGUAGGGCUGGGACAGGCAGGGAGCCUGCCUUAGCCUUGCUGCACUGCUGACCAGGAGCCACCCGAGGUGAGGAAGAAAGUGCAUCACGGCCCUCUGGUUGGGCUUCGUACCUUCACAGUUGGUCAGGACUUCGAUGAGACAAUGGAAAUCUUUUAGACAUUUACAUUCCACAAUUGCACUAACCGAGAAAUUUUACUAUAGAGGAAUGAACCUUACAUGUGUAGCAUUGACAGUUUUAUUUUUCUGAUUUUGCAGAUUACCUUAAGCAAUGUAUCUUGGCCUAAAGAUUGGAAUAGAGGGUUUCUAAAGAAUAUGCUCUAUUACUUUCUCACUCCAGGUUCUGGUUGCACCAAACUCUUUCAUUGUUUCUUCUAAAUAUUUUUAGAUUAAGCAAGUUGGGACUCAGGAGUAAAAUGAAAGGGGUAAAAAGUUACUGAUUACUUGAGAACAUAAUUUGGCAAACUGGUCACAUAUUUUAUUUUUAUUAAAAAUGUUGCAUAAUUUAAUAACUAGAACAGUAGGUAAAAUAAUUCUUAGUAAAGUACUUCAAAAAUACAUUUUCAGGAUGCUAUUUUCACUCGAUGUAUUUGAAGAAAACAAAUAAUUUGUAGUAUUAUAAAUCUAUUGUCCAAAUAGUAUAAUAUCAAAGUCAAAUAAAACUGUUUCCACUGCAUGAUGAUCUUUAUAAAAUAUUGCAUGGCUCUUAAGAGAAUUUGGAGAGACAUGGCAUUUUCUGUUUUGACUUUGGCUAAAUUCUCAGUAAAGUUUGCAGCAAAAACAGAUUCAGAAUAUGAAGCCUAGGGCCAAAGAGAUUAGUGACCCCUAAAACUUGUCCUGUGUUUGGGAUAUUAAUAUGUCGGAUGGAUAUUCAAGGCCUGACAUUGGAUCAGAUGCUAGAGAGCAUUCAGGGAAGGCCCAGGACAGACGUUUUCAAGAAUCAGUGGCACAUGUGGGCUAAAAUUCUAGGAGAGAGGGCUUAAACUAAGGUAUCUUUAUCUGAGGUUGGAAUCUGCAUAGGCAACUUGAGGGAUGAGUAACGAAGACUAGGCAAGACGCUGUAAGGAGGCACUGGCACCAUCAUGCUAUACUGAAAUAAAGGAUAAAGAAUGAUGGUAGGAACAAGAUCCUGAAGGAAGGAUCUGAAUUUGCUGAAGUUUACACACCCUAAAUAAAACUGCCAGGAAAGAAGGAAGUGUGUUUUCUUUGAAAACUUUUAUAGCAGAUGCAGUUUGCAGGCAUUCUUAUGUAAGGAAAUUACUCACUUCUUUCUCUCUUCACUCUUCCCUGUCUCUCUUCCUUUUGGUCAAGUGAUUUGUGCUUCAUUUUAGAUUAUGCUACUUCACGGCUUUUCUGGAAACAGCACUUCCAUGUGUAAGAAUAAGUAUAAUUCUGUUGUAAACAGUGCACUAAUUUCCCGCCCUCCCCCAGCUUCUGCGUCUGUUUUGUUUUACUUUUUUCCUCCUAAUCCAUGCUGUCUUUUUCCUCUACGUAUUCCAGUUCUGUUCUCUUAAUUACUCCAUUAUUUGUAUGUAAAUUUAUUAUAUAUACAUAUGCAUUCUUCUCACCUACCAUCCAAGACUUUUUCAGGCAUUUGUGUCUCCUUCUCCAAUAUGCUCUUAUUCAGUUCUAAAACUACACUUCUGAACACAGAGGGGCGGGAAGAUGCACACUUAGACCCACCAGCACAUCUUUCUCUACUAGAGAUACUGCUGCCAUACCACACUGUACAAAACUAAGCAGUAAGACCAGGGUUAGGGAAAAGCAGUCCUGAGAUGCUGUUGUCCACUCCCUGAAUAACAUAGUAUUAAUCAGGACUGUGGUUUAUUUGGCCGCAAGAACAGCAGUAGAGAUUGUCUUUCUAUGAGAACAGAAUGUCUAUGAUGAGUAGUUAUUGAUAUUAAAGUGACUAUAUGUAAAUGACUUCUUAGUCAUCUCUACUUCUUGUGACUUACUAUAUUGAGAGGGAAAUACAUUUUUUUUAAAUUGCUAUUUGCCGUUAGCACUGCAAAGCCAACAUAGUUACUAUAGAGUAAAUCCUUUUGGCACAAACCAAUUACCAAUGCACUUCUUAAAUACUAGUUGCAGAAUUGUCCUGGGUCAUAGAUGAGUCAGAAAGCAUCCAGUUUGACUUUCCUGUCUAGGAUUGCAAGCCUCAUAAUUAGAAAGACAUCUUUUGAACAAUUGAAGAUGCCACUGUGGUGUUUUUACAGUCAUUUUUGGACUAUACGCACCCCUUCCUCAUCAUUGAUUUGUUCUAAAUCACUAGAUGUUAAUCCUCAUUUUUCUUUUUCACAGUCAGCUGUGAUUAGUCUAAUUAAAAUAAUGCCAAGACAAGGUUGAUGGUAAAAGAUUUCAGUUCAUAAUAUUUCACUCAUAUGCGCUUACAUUUUUAAAUCACAGCAGGAAAAUAUCUGCACUGUUUCUUAGGCUGAUUUCAAAACUAGUUCAACUGAAAUUUGCUGCUGUCAUGAUUCUUUCCUCCUCCGGUCUUUUCUGCACAAUAUCUAUUCAACUGUCUUUGUUAUAGAGAGGCUGUGAUAAGUGAAUUUUUCUCUUUUAAAAGGUGUAUUUCAAAUCCUAAGAUUUUUAUUUAACCUUGCAAACUGUGAAUAAUAUUUUAUGCUGCUUGCAUACUUUAACACUGACUGUAUUAAAUAGCAAUGGCUUUUUUAUUUGUUUUCAGACUUUUGACUUGUAUAUCCACUAUUUUAACGAAACUCAAAUAUUGUGCUCAUGAAUGUAAUACACACUUCUUGCAUAUGCUUCUGCUACAAAGGAACAUUACUGAGGCCUUGAAAGAGUGUUGUCAGAAUAUUUUAAUAAUUACAACUAAACAUAUUUGUAUAAUGUGUGUGAUACAAUUGUCAGUGCUUUCAAAACAGAACCUUUCCAGGCUGAGGAAGAAACUUCAGCUGUAAGUGCAUGUCUGGGGUUUUUUAAUACAUAGUUACAAUAAACAGAAUAGACAGGACAUGUGGACUGGAAGCAGAAUUAUUUUUCAUUAACUUCCAUUUUAGUCUUCUAAUCAGGCACCCUAGUUGUGACUCAAAUUCCAAAAGGCAAUUUAAAUUGAAAAUUAAAGCUGGCACUUUGCUCACCUUUGCGCUGUGCUGCUCAUUUUAAAAGAGUAUAUGUUGGCCUCACUUUGAUUGUUCUGUUUACUCUUUUUACAGUACCAUAUUUUCCUGAGUUGUUUACAGACUUGUAAGAAGACAUGACCCCUAUCCCACCAGGUUUACAUACUUAGGGCCAAAUUAGAGGCUCCCCAACAUUAGAAGGAAGAGGGCCACAGUUUGAUUACAGAUGCUGGGGACUCCAAAAGAGCCUGCUGGUUCUGAAGCUAGGGCUAGAAACUGCAGAGGGAGAGGGUUUGAUUAGGGCCAUGGCCCCACCCCCUGCACAUCUGUUGGACUGUGGUUCAGCAACUGCUACCUACACUUGCACAAGUCUACAGCCCACUCCCUUUGUAAGGCAAUAAAAGGUGGUGUUCCUGUAGGUGCCACCACUUGGCUUGUGCUUCUCUUUUUACCUGCAGAGGCACAGCUGUCCAGAGAGGCAGUCACAUUAAAUACUUUUCUUAAAAUUCACUAUUAAAACCUCUUUCUGAGGAACACGCUUUAAAACAUAUCCUGAUUUUUUUUAAAGAAACAAAACAAAUACUUAAAGUAUAACUGCUCCUUUGUUUAUUCACAAGGAAGUUUUGAGUGGGCCUGAAGGCAACACCAUUGAACAUGCUUGGGUCCAUCCUUUCUCUCUGCACAUCUACCUCCCAACCUUUUCGUACUAGCUCUGCUGCUGCUAGGACCAUUAAACACCUUUUUGCAGAGCCUGGGAAAGGCGGGCAGCAUCAACAAAACUGAAACUUGGGUGUACAUGGUGUCAGAGGUGCAAAGUGAACAAAUGAAAGAGAACUUUUUUCUGUUGUAAUCAUAGGGGUUACUUGUAACAAAAGUAGAUAAAAAUGAUUGUUGGAAAUGUGACUUUAAUUGAUGGUCUCCUAAUGUUCUGUUAUACAUUUUGAUAAAAUGCAUAUUCACCUGAGUGUGUGCCUUUGUUCAGAAUGCCUAUCUUCUUUGAUAAUUUGAGUAAAUGUUAUUCAGGUACUUCCUGUUAUGGAUUUGUCCUGCAGUACAAAAGUAAGAGUUUAUGAUAGUAAAAAGUUGAAUAACAUGAGUUAUGAGUUUACUAUAGAAAUAUUGGCACAAUCCUGACUUGGGGAUAGCAUCACCAUGUUGAAAAUGAAUGUGAAUAUGUGUGCGGGGAGAAACAUAAUUUUAGAAAUUUAAUGUAAAAUAACUGUCUUAGUGUAUCUUAUUAGGAAAAAUAUAAAUGAACUUUUAAAAAUUUGUGCUUUUGUUAUUUGUUAUUUAGCAUAUGCUACUGGAGAGAAAAUGGCUGACAUCUAGUAGCUGAGACUGAUUAAAAAGUGCUGAAUGUGUGGUGUUAGGGGUGGAGGAGCUGCUUCAGAGAUUCUCUGGUUUAAUUUACACACCAGCCACUCUAACCUGAAACUAACACUUUCACAAGAUUGGCCUCUUUAUUCAAAUAGCAUCCAAUUUCUUAUGUCCAAGAAUGAUUUAAACUCAAACACAUAGGCUUCUUGUCCAAUUCCUGUAGUCUGUUUUCCUUAGAUAAAUAUAUCUAAGGAACUCAUCCUGGUAAGAGAGGAAAGGUGAAGGAAUAAAACUGAAGGAUCCAUCUCUAUUGUUCCUUUGCUAAUUAAAUCUGCUUUGGCUUUGAUAAUUUUCUUUGUUGCGAAUCAAGUUUUGGGGAAGCUUGUUGUGAAAAUGCAGGAGAGAAAAAAGCAAUUGUGCCAGCAGGAACCACCAGCUUGACAUUUCAGACCUCAUCCUAGUAAUUUUGGCAAGAAUAUUCUGAAUCUGAGUGUCAGGUUUUGCUUCUAAAUCAAUACUUAUUUCUUCUGGAAGCCCACAUCCAAGAUCUUGAAAAUCUAGGAAAGACUGAAGGUAUGUCUGCACGACAGAGACUAGCAUGGCUAUGCUGGCAUAACCCCAUAGGGUAGCUCCAGUCUACACAGACAAAAAGGGGUUUUUCAAUCUGUGUUGGAAUACCACAUCCCAAAGUAAGCAUUCUUCAGUCAACAUAGCUGUGCCUACACUGAGGGCUAUGUCAGCAUAGCAAUGUUGGUUAGGGGAGUGAUUUUUCACACCGUGAGGUAACUAUUCCAAUAUAACUUUCAAGUGUAAACCAAGUUUAAGGUUUGUGUGUUUUAAGAUUAAACAUAAAGAUGCUUUCAUUAUGAUAACACAGAUUUUUCUCUAAAUGAUAAGAUGCAAAAUCAUAGCUAACUUUAGUAGCAUAAUGGACUAGAAUAAAUAUGAUUCUCCAUUGCCUUGUACCUUGCAUACUCAUUUACACCUGUGUACAAGAAUGAAUGUAAAAAUGCAACCAUUCUAAGUGGAGGUUUCUGAUAUUCUGCUGUUUACAUUCACCUUGCAGUUUGAAAUGGACUAGG